AAGGGAGAGAUCCAGAAAGGUAGAUUCUUCUGUGUAGAAUUACAAUGUUCCUGAAAAGCCACUUUCCUGAGAAGAACUGCAACAGAUUUUCAUGAUAUCAAGAAGGCUUUAUGUUCCUGUAAGAAAGUUUGGCUGUAAGUUCCUAUCAAGAUUCUACAAGAACAUAUUGAUGCUCUGAAAGAUAACCCCAGAAGAGUAUGAGGAGACAUACACAGUCUACACAGAUGGGGUUUCACCGUGUCAGCCAGGAUGGUCC
rnacentral:lncRNA from 1 species